AGAGUUUGAUUAUGGCUCAGGAUGAACGCUGGCGGCGUGCCUAACACAUGCAAGUCGAACGAUGAAACCGCCCUCGGGCGGACAUGAAGUGGCGAACGGGUGAGUAACACGUGACCAACCUGCCCCGCGCUCCGGGACAGCCUCGGGAAACCGGGGUUAAUACCGGAUGCGCCCCGGCGGCCGCAUGGCGGCCGGGGGAAAGCCCAGGCGGCGCGGGAUGGGGUCGCGGCCCAUCAGGUAGUAGGCGGGGUGGAGGCCCGCCUAGCCGACGACGGGUAGCCGGGUUGAGAGACCGACCGGCCACAUUGGGACUGAGAUACGGCCCAGACUCCUACGGGAGGCAGCAGUGGGGAAUAUUGCGCAAUGGGGGCAACCCUGACGCAGCAACGCCGCGUGCGGGAAGACGGCCCUCGGGUUGUAAACCGCUUUCAGCAGGGAAGAUUGCGACGGUACCUGCAGAAGAAGCCCCGGCUAACUACGUGCCAGCAGCCGC
rnacentral:rRNA from 1 species